UUCCGUCAUAUUUUUCCACAUGCUUUCUUGAACUUAGUGCUCAGGUGAUGUCUCAGAAGACGAAAUCGUGUUAAAGCGAUGUCUAACCCGAGCAGAUCUCUGUACAAAGCUCAAGAAAGCUGUGGGAAAAUAUGGAAGAA
rnacentral:pre_miRNA from 1 species